UACGGAGGGGGCUAGCGUUGUUCGGAAUUACUGGGCGUAAAGCGCACGUAGGCGGCUUUGUAAGUUAGAGGUGAAAGCCCAGGGCUUAACCCUGGAAUUGCCUUUAAGACUGCAUCGCUAGAAUCGUGGAGAGGUGAGUGGAAUUCCGAGUGUAGAGGUGAAAUUCGUAGAUAUUCGGAAGAACACCAGUGGCGAAGGCGACUCACUGGCCCGGUACUGACGCUGAGGUGCGAAAGCGUGGGGAGCAAACAGG
rnacentral:rRNA from 1 species